rnacentral:tRNA from 1 species
GGCCCUUUAGCUCAGAGGUGAGAGCGGUCGGCUCAUAACCGGUUGGUCGCUGGUUCAAGUCCGGCAAGGGUCACCA